rnacentral:tmRNA from 3 species
GGGGGUGACUUGGCUUCGACGCCGGUGACAAACCCUGAGGUGCAUGCCGAGAGGGUAGUGACUCUCGUAAAUCAAUCGCUGUAACUUUUAUAGUUGCCAAUGACGAAAACUACGCACUAGCUGCUUAAUAAUUCGGCUUCGGCCGAGCUUCCCGAAAGGGAUAAUUUAAGUUAGUUAACCCUAGGGCGAAUGUGCCCAUGUAUUCAAACUAGGGGCUCGACUCAUGGGACAGCUGCCAGACCUCGCUUGUGGUUAAAGCAGUUAAACUUAAAGCAAGCUCGCCUUUUAAUCCCUGUUCGUUGGGCUAGUGAAAGGUUAAAUGGUAAACGAACUAAGCAUGUAGAACCAAAGGCAGAGUACUGACGGACGCGGGUUCAACUCCCGCCACCUCCACCA